UACGGAGGGUGCGAGCGUUGUCCGGAAUCACUGGGCGUAAAGGGCGUGUAGGCGGUCAAGUAAGUGGAAUGUGAAAUCCCCCGGCUUACCCGGGGACCGGCAUCCCAUACUGCUUGGCUUGAGUACGGGAGAGGAUGUGGGAAUUCCUGGUGUAGCGGUGAAAUGCGCAGAUAUCAGGAGGAACACCGAUGGCGAAGGCAGGUCUCUGGGCAUUAACUGACGCUGAGGAGCGAAAGCCAGGGGAGCAAACGGG
rnacentral:rRNA from 1 species